AAUGCAGGGUUUGUUUCGCGGCUCCUGUUGAUAAAGGGAUCUAUUCCAACAAUCCGUAAUCCCCUUGCUGAAGUAAGUACAUGUUUGAUACUUAAGAUGUUUUAAAAUGUUUGUCUGUUUAAAAUGUAGUAACCCACGUGUGAGGCAAGCUAAUAGCUAGCUAUCUAUGGUAAUGGCUACAGCCAGUCCACCGAGCCUUUGUCCCCUUCAAAUGUGCUUAUGUGGGCUCCUGCAGCCACACACCUGUGUGGGGAAAAGCUAAUGACUAUCGGCUUUCAAGCGGCUACAGGCAGGGAACGGUGUGUCGAGCUUUUGUUUUUUGCUUGCAAUCACGCACACCUGGGGGGAAGGUAAAGGCUAUACCCAGUCUGUCCAGGCAGUCUGGGUCUCUCCAGCUGGAAUCGUAGGCACGUAGCUUUGCUCCUGUAUUUUCUAUAGCUGUUAGUGUGCCAUUACCUCGCUAUUAUCAGCUAAACAGACGACUAAUCGUGCCACUGCCGUGUUGCAGUUACUGCUAAUUACUACAGCCACACAGAGAGGUAAGCGGCAAUGACGCACACGAUUCCACAUGUGCUACCGUGGUCCGCUGCAACCACACACACCUGGGGGUGAGCUAGUAGCUAGUGCCCUGCUAACGGCUGAGCGCGGUAGAGCGGGCUUUUGUCUGGUUGAAAUGUCACAGUAACCAUUCAAUUUAGUUACUUUGUGUUUCAAUGUGUUUUGCUUGUCCGGUCAGUUACUGUGUAAGAUGUGAGGGAGCAAUAAAUAUAACGGUGUUUUUCUACAGGCGGACACAUCACAGGUACGCAAACGCAAGGCGGUGGGCUGUCAAACCCAGACAGCACUGCGGGCUGUUGGGACACAGCUGUCUCGCAGAACAUUAGAAGCUCACCACAGGAGUAAAGGGAUGUACAGUAUGAUGAUUGUUUUUAUAUUUUGAUUGUUACAACAGUAUGGCACUAUUCAGUAUUCUGUAUACUAUUCUAGAUUUGAUUUAGAAGAUUUUUUUCUUUGCUAGGUCAACAGGCUACAGUUGAAAGCAGAGACUUUGGUGUCAGCACAGUUGGUGCUUUUCAAUUACCUGUCCUGUCAUCCACACCUAUUAAAAGACCAUCUCAGCGAGCACGUUUGGAGCUGGAGGAGGAUGAUGAUCCUUUAGAUGGAUCCUCAGUCACUGAGCCUUCCCUUCAGCAUGAUGAAACCUAUGAACCUGGAGAUACUACAACAUCCAGAUCUGAAAUUGUUCAAAAGUUCAUCUGAAUAACUGGCUGUUGAUUAUUAUAACUGUUGUACACAUAUAUUAGGGAUAUAUGGAUCAUAUAUUAUGUCAAUGUGAUCCAUCUGCUCUUGUUUUUCAGUGCUGUACAAGGUACCUCACUCCACAACCAGGCAAAAUACAUUGUUUAUGAGUCUUGUCUAAUGGAACUGUUUGAGUAUUGUCCUUUAUGCAAACGGAGGUGUGAGGUCAAGACAAGGAGGUUGGUCACCUUCCUGGCUGUGGAACAGCUCUGCACACACUGUCUUUUUUUUUUUUUUAAAGAUGGAAUAGCUAACCUUUAGUUGGUAGUACCCCAGCAGGCAACAUUCAUCUGUCUGCUGCAAUUUACAUCAGUGGCGCUUCGUAUUUCAAAUUUAAAAACGGCACUCGGCUAAAUAUGGAAGCUACACCAUGGUGGACCUCACGACCAACAAAGUGGUGGAUUUGCAGUUGGUUCAGAGUAAUGAGGUCGGUGGAAGCUACAAUAUGGAGAAAGAGGGAUUAAGCUUGGCAAAAAUGUCACAGCAUGGAGUCAAAUUGGAUUCAAUAGUAACUGAUCGCCAUCCAGCCAUUCAGAAAAUUUUGAGAGAGGAGAAGAUAAUGCAAUUCUACGAUGUGUGGCACAUAGAGAAAGGAAUCACUAAGAAGUUGGAGAAUGCCUCAAAAACUAAAGAAUGUAAAAAGCUACAGACGUGGAUAAAGGCGAUCAGAAAUCACAUUUAUUGGACUGCUGCCACAUCAUCAACAGGACCAGAGAAAAUAGCCAAAUGGAUGUCUCUCAUAAAUCACGUCCAGGAUGUACAUACACAUGAGGAUCCGAUUUUCCCAAAUUGCCUUCAUCCUGUGAAGCACACGCGAGACAAACAUAAAUGGCUGUCAAAAGGUUCCCCAUCUCUUCAAGAGUUGGAGAAAAUUAUGACUAAUAAAAGAAUACUAAAGGACGCAGAGAAGCUGAGCCCCCUUCACCAGUCCUCAUCGUUAGAAGCAUUCCAUAGUGUAAUAAUUCGAUUUGCCCAAAAGAGUGUGGUUUUUUCCUAUAUUGGAAUGCUAUGCAGACCGAUCACAGGCUACCUCUGCUGCUGGAGACCUGCUGUACAAGAUUUCAUUUCCAAAGGCAAAGAGGGGCGAGUGUGUUGAUAAACCACUCAAAGCAGCACCAACGUUUUAUUACGUUGAAAAUCUGCUUGACACUAUCUUCGAGAAAGUCCUGCUGGACUGGUAUGUGGAGGAACUUCGGAACAUUCCUGUUCCAGCGCCCCUUUGUGCAGAUUUUGAGUGGCCUGACAGAAGGGAGGUCAUCGAUGCGAUGGUUUCACGAUUCAACAACCCAUAGCAAAGCUAGUGAUGCCAUGAAGCCUUUACCUUCCCCCCAGGUGUGUGUGAUUGCAAGCAAGACCUGGAGACUUAAUCUGCUAGAGCUUCUGCACAGCUUCAGUGUGAUGUGAACAACAAAGAACAUGACAUCUCCCCAACCAUCUGUGGUCUUUCUAGCUUACUUCUACCAGGCUCUACAAACGUUCCUUUCAUUAGUCCAUCAUAAUGCUCCCUUCACUCCCCAACUUGGACAAUAAACAUCGGACUGUUCUGACAGGACUUAGAAAGAGAUCACAUUUCUACUACAUUAGCUUCUCUGCACUGGCUGCCUGUAAAAUGUAGGAUAGUGAUCCUCUCCCCCCUCUCUCUGUCUUCACCUACAGGUAUCAUUGGACUCAGAGUUUGGUGUCUGUAAUGGUAAACUGCUGUAAACCGCUGUGAUCCGCUGUAAACUGCGGAUCCAACCAUCCUGCCUGUGUCCAGUCCCUGGUCCAACCAUCCUGCCUGUAUCCAGUCCCAGGUCCAACCAUCCUGCCUGUGUCUAGUCCCUGGUCCAACCAUCCUGCCUGUGUCCAGUCCCUGGUCCAACCAUCCUGCGCUCUGUUGUUGCUGUGCUUUUCUCCCUCUCUAUCCCCUCACCCCAACCGGUCGAGGCAGAUGGCUGCCCACAUCCAGCCUGGUUCUGCUGGAGGUUUCUUCCUCGUUACGGAGGAAGUUUUUCCUCUCCACUGUUGCUGUCAAAUUAAAUGCUUGCUGUAUGUGGGAUUUGUUGGGUUUAGUUGUGUAAGUUCUUAAACCUUACUUUGUAAAGUGCCUUGAGAUAACUUUGUUGUAAUUUGGCGCUUUAUAAAUUGAAUUGAACUGUCAAAAUAAUGUUUGAUUAACGAUAAAAAUUAGCUUGGACUAAGAUUGGACUGACUUCAAUGAACUCAUAUAGACAUAUAGCUUAAUAACUUAACUUUUAUUGAUGAAAACAUAAUAUUUAAACUGCACAUUCUGCAUGUGAACCAAGCAUCACAGGAUAACCAUAAAGGAAAUAAAUAGUAAAAAUAAAAUUCUUGGAAAGAAAAAAAAGCUUUGUCCCUUAUGAAAAAGGUACUUCAGAAGUUAUUCCACUGGUGGUCUGAAUCCAACAUAGUUCCCUUGUCCGUCGGGGAACUCGGCUCUGAUGCGCAACACCACGCAUGUGGGGAUGACUACUCUGACUCUUCGUCCCAGAAAUCCCAAACACCAACUCACAAAACUUCUGUAUGACAGAAACCUGUAACGACUUGACACAAACAUACAUGUCAGGUUUAUCAAAGACUUCUAAUCCAGGAAAUUGCUAUAUUUAUUAGUUUCAUGUUAGUACUUGGCUACUAAACAUGCUCUU